GUUGAAUUCAGGUUCUUAAGCAUAAUAGGCAAGGAUUCUACCAUUAAGCUACAUCCACAGCCCUUAGAGUUGAAUGUUGUGAGGUGGAUCAUUGUAGAGGUCUGGAAACCAGUAUCAUAUGUGCCUGAGCAAGACUGGCUGUAGCAGGAGUGUCUCAGUGUAGAAGUUGCUAUUCUCUUAUAUAGGUUACAAAGUCACAUGUGAGUGUAUGUGCCAAAGGAAACCUAUUAAAGGAAGAAAGGAUUUGAAGUGAUGAAACCAAAAGUGGUCUAAGACACUUUGUAUCCCUUAGAGCAAGGUCAAGAACUCUCUUUCACUCAUUUGGUGAAAGCUGUGAUUGCUCUUCUUGGAAAAUAGCACCUGGGUAUAUGUAUGAUAUCUCGCAUAUAAUAUACAUGAAAUUGUUUCAUAUUUUUGCAU
rnacentral:lncRNA from 1 species